rnacentral:rRNA from 1 species
ACGAACGCUGGCGGCGUGCCUAAUACAUGCAAGUCGAGCGGACGAAUCGAAAGCUUGCUUUUGAUUCGUUAGCGGCGGACGGGUGAGUGACACGUGGGCAACCUGCCCUGUAGACGGGGAUAACACCGAGAAAUCGGUGCUAAUACCGGAUAACACGAAAUGUCGCAUGACGUUUCGUUGAAAGACGGCGCAAGCUGUCGCUACAGGAUGGGCCCGCGGCGCAUUAGCUAGUUGGUGAGGUAACGGCUCACCAAGGCGACGAUGCGUAGCCGACCUGAGAGGGUGAUCGGCCACACUGGGACUGAGACACGGCCCAGACUCCUACGGGAGGCAGCAGUAGGGAAUCUUCCGCAAUGGACGAAAGUCUGACGGGGCAACGCCGCGUGAGCGAAGAAGGCCUUCGGGUCGUAAAGCUCUGUUGUUAGGGAAGAACAAGUAACGCAGUAACUGGCGUUACCGUGACGGUACCUAACGAGAAAGCCACGGCUAACUACGUG